rnacentral:rRNA from 1 species
GACGUAGGGGGCGAGCGUUGUCCGGAUUCAUUGGGCGUAAAGCGCGCGUAGGCGGCUGCGCAAGUCGGUUGUGAAAUUCCGGGGCUCAACCCCGGAACUGCGUCCGAUACUGCGUGGCUAGAGGUAGGUAGGGGAGAUCGGAAUUCCUGGUGUAGCGGUGAAAUGCGCAGAUAUCAGGAAGAACACCGAUGGCGAAGGCAGGUCUCUGGGCCGCAACUGACGCUGAGGCGCGAAAGCGUGGGGAGCAAACAGG